UAAAGUUUUAUUGGAACGCAGCCACACGUUGAUUGCUGUAUUGUCCACGGCUGCUUUUGUGCUGUAGCAGCAGAGUGGUAGUCGCAGCAGAGACCUCAUGUCCCACAGAGGGGAAAAUAUUUACCAUCUGGCCCUUUACAGAAAAACUUUGCCUCCCCCUGCUCUAAGUGUUCCUCUGAGCAACUGUUGGCUGAUUUAGGGAAGCUCUUCUCUUGAAACCCAGCAGUAAGCAACGUUAGUUUACUUUAGCAGAUAUGAAACUUGAAUCCUAACACUUUCUUCCGCCCUUUCUCAACCCUUCUCCCCGAACAUGGAAAGUGGCCCAAUAAGUGAAAUGAAACUUGGCCCAAUCAGCGAUAUUUAGAAAGUGGAAGGUGAAAGUGUUGACAUCUGCUUGUAUUCCGGCAGCACGUGAUGCAGCAAGAGCCUUCUGGUCAGCCGGGCAUCUUGCGUUUUGUGAAAGAUUGUCUCGUGUUAGCCGGCCCUAGUGGGAUUUAUGCCUGUGGAAAAAUGCGAUGUGAUGAACCAUCUGCCUUUCUUCCUAACAGUGGCUUCCUAGGUGGAUUCUUCCUUCCUUCAGUCUUGAUAGCUUCACGCCUGCCCUGCUGAUGUGCGGUGAAAGCCCCUUGGAGCAGACUUCCCUCCCACCCCUGCCUCUCAUGUCAGUCACAGCAGCACCUGCCCUGGAUCUGGACCUGGACCUGCCCACGUGCUUGCUGAUGGCUCUUUAAGGACAGGAGGGAUCCACGUCUUACUUGCCUCGUAAAAAUCAUCCCGAAUUUGAGCUGCAACUAUAAAAAACCCCCAGCAAACAAGAAGCCGUCUUUCUGACCUAAGUUAUGGGAAAGAGGACUUCUAUUUUCUAUUUAAGGAAAUAUUAUCGUGGAGCCAGUGGCUAGUGACCCAGACAGUUCACCUGCCACAUUCAAGCCUCUAGUCCCCAGCUGACCUGGACAAGAGAAUGUGGUGAGUUAGUUCAAUUAGUGUGUCACCCAGGAAGAGCUGACAAUGAGUGAAGGCGGGUGACCCACACGACAACCAGAUUCGAGCCUCAAGGCCUAUCACCACUACCAGCCUUGACCGAGGGAACUGACCACAGGUUCUGCAUGGUUAGGGUAAAAGCUGGAAGAACAUAGGAGAGACUAACCAGUUUCCUCUGAGAAUAUGAACUCAGUCUUUUUUAAAAGCUUUCUGAGAGCUACGAUUGAAAUUUCAGACGGCCUGCAGUGGAAGUCACAUUUGACCACCUCCAGACUCGAUGCUGUUAUUUCUGUGAAAGUCUAUUUUAACCAAAGGAAAUCCUGUUUCCCCAGCAGCACUGGCAACAGCCCUGCGGUGCACGGUCGUCUCAGGAGUGCAGUGAGGAUACAGGCUCUCUUUAAUCUCUGAAUAAAAAUAUUUGAUGUUUACAA